GCCUGCUGCCGUCGGCCGACCUCGAGCCGAAGGAGCGCCGCCGCCGCCAGGUGGUGCUGGCCGUCAUGGCCGGUGCCUUUAUUAUCGUCUCCAUGUCGGUCGGCCUCAUCUUCGUCAUGCUGUACCUCACCUCCUCGGAGGAUGUUACGGACGGAGCGGACGUCCGAAAAGAAAACGAGGAGAUCUACCGGGGUCUGAAGACCGGCUACAACGUGUCGUCUACCGCCGCCAGCACCAUCGACGGCGAAGGAUAGCUGUGAGCUGUCCGACGGCAGCGGCGGUGUCGGCGCCGGCGACUGUACGGCGCUGAGUGGGCAGUACCCCGGCGCUGAUUGGGCAGUGCCCCACGGAGGGCAUGACAUCCUCAGGCAGCGCCCCCUGGCGAGGGUACUGUUCAGAUGGCAGCACCCCGGCAGGAGUGCGGCACCAGAGGGCGCGGCUGCACCCUAGCGAGGGUACAGCCCCGUCGCAAAACACCCCCAACGAGGGUAUAGCCCCGUCGAGCAGCACCCUCAGUAAAGGGGUACGAUACUCCCGGGCAGCCUGAAAGCAAUGGUACGGGACCCAGCGGACAGCACUACCCCAGAGGAGUUACAGAACCGUCGGUGUCAGACCCCUGGCGUCGGCGGUGGUCCUGGCAUCGAACGGACAUGAGCCGCGCAGGCGUGUUUCCAGUGGACUUGUGCACCCCGUGACAUCGGACCGCUCGGUCCCGUCAUUUGCGACCUGUGAAAAUGUCAACUCGAACCCUGCGGCGGGGUUCCGCUAACGCCCUCGGUAGUGGGAUGACAGUGUGCCCUGGGGCCCGUCUUGCUCUGAUGGGCUGGUGUUUGUUUGCGACAGUGGCGUGAGUUGGAUGUCGGGUUCCCUGUCAAGCUCAUGAAGCUGCGGCGUGAAUGUCACUCAUGCUCCGUCUAUAUUGUUUUGUUUGCGCAUAUGCGGGCGGAAUGGUGGCCGCGUGUGUUGAGUAUUGCGAACGCUAUGCGAGGGCAAGCGCCGUUCAUGUGUUCUGUCGUGUCUGUUGAUGAGCUCUGUCAUGUCUGUACCCAACAGCAGAUCACCGAAAACCCGCCGAGAACUUAUACUAUUCGUUUUUCUGGGGUAAAUUUCGCAAAGCAGAAAUAGGGCCAGCGCUGUCCCGUACUAUCUGUGCUAGCAAUGGCAAAACAGUUAUCAUGCUUGUUCAGUACACACAAAAGAAGU